UCACCGAUCGGUCUGGCCGUGGUUAUGUGCCGCCGUGCCGGCCCGGAUGCUCAAAAGAUGCUAGCUGUGUGCACAUCUGAACUACGCAGUGUAUACAAGUCCGAAAACUAUCGGCGGUGUAUACAUACUACAAGCUCACGAGUUGCUCUUUGAUUGGGUUUGCUUCUUCUGUUUUUCUCUUCCUACAUAUCUCGCUUGUAUAUUAGCUAGGAUGAGACCUCAAUCAAUCGAUCAUGGAAAUGUGUCAACAUUUAAUUAGCAUUUCGCUUGCUUCUAAACCCUCAACUAUUACUGCUCUAGAGCUGUGUCCCUUUUUCCUUCAAAACUGAGACGGUGUCUCUAGAUUUUGCAUCGAUCUAUUGAUGCGCAAGACAAUGGGUUACGUGCUUGGUUUGUUCCACAUUCUUCAAUACCUAUAUUUUGUUGUGGUUUGUUCCACAUUGGUCAAUACCAAGGCCAUUUGUUGAUUGAUGCACACGACAAUGUUGUAAUUUUGUUGUUUUAAUAAACCAAGCACGUGAGCCAUCAAUCAAUUUUGCUUGGUUUGUACUUUGGUUUUGAGUAUGAAAAAUUACAGCGUGUGUAACAUAAUAUAAUUUUACUUCUAUUUUUGCACUGAUCACAAUUGGCCAUUUUGAAUAAUAAUUAUUUACAUGCAUAUAGUUGGCACUAUAAGGACACAACUAUUCGCAGCUUGAGCUCAAAUGAGCCUUCAUGAACAGCUUGAGUUCUUUUGAAUUUUUUUUUUCAAAUUUACUGUUCGCCCGAGGUCAGCUCGGGAGCAAAAGGACACUUUCGGCACUAUAAGGGCUUGUUUGGUGCAUGGGGAAAAGACAAUGGGAUCCCUGGGGGGGUAACUCUCCCGGGUUAAAUUGGUUGUGCAUUUGGCUUACGAGGUAAGAGGGAAAUCUCAUGCCACCCCGUCUACUCCCUUGGCGAAAAUAAACCAGUCCCAAUUUGAGGUAAUUCCUCAUUGCACUUGCGGAAGGUCUGGUGGAGCGUUGCGCCGCGCCUCACACUUCUCCAUUAGGUCGUCAUGCCUGUUGUGGUGCCCCUCCAUGGCAUCCCACACGGCAGCUGCAUCGAGGAGUAGGCGACCAUCUUGAUCACCAUGACACUAAUGAGAUCGCAACUGUCCUUGUCGGCCAAGCCCAAGCGUGCAAGCUCAAGGUAGCCUUCACGGCUCAGUUGUUUCCCUCUCGAUAUGGGAGAACCCAUUGGAGCUGAUCUAGCUUGUCGAUUGUGGAGAGUUUUUUUUAAAGCGUAUAGAUCAAGAAAUACAGUCUUUGCCAUGUUGUUCGAUCAUUCUUAGAGCAUCGAAAUUUCUCUAACAGCCUGUGUGGUAGUUUGAGGGAAAGGGAAUGGGAAUUAAUAGGGAGGAGUUUGUAGAAGGAUAGACUUGGGAAGUGGACUAUUUGUUCCGAUCCCACGUUUAGUGCGUGUAGGGAAUUGCUUGUGGGAAUUGGACAAGAAAUUAGUCUCCUAAAAAAUAAAUUAGAUCUAAGCAACAAGAGAGAAGGGGGAAAACAUGUGUAACGAACAUAUUCCUUUUAUUUUCUUUGUCAACUCCCGUUCCCGGUAUGAAUUGCCAGGGCCCUCCUAACGUAUUUGGCAACUUCAGAUUAAGGGAAUGGAAUUUACAGCGCAUUUGGUUGGGGGUAAUUAGAUCUAGGGAAUGAGAAUUGAAGGGGUGUGAGUCUUCAAAUCUAUUGUUUGGUUGGGGGAUUGGGAAUUCAGAAGUGAAUAGGCAUGGGACUUUAAUUAGACUCCAACUCCACCGUUUUAUUAAGAGGAGAGGGUGGGAAUUGGAAGGGAAUUGUUUUAAUGAGUUGAUCUUAACCCUUCAUCAUAACUUACGUUAACUUCCCAUGUCUAGGCCCUUGCCAAUUUUCAUGAACCAAACAAGGGAAUACAGUUUCUCCUCAAAUCUCACAUGUAAAUCCUGUUAUGUGCCAAACAAAUGAUUGGGAAUAAAACAUCUCAUCCCAUGUCUAAUCUCAAUACAACUUCCUACUCUAAACUCCCAUUCCCCUUCCCAAAUAUUACCAAACACGGAAUUUAUUAAAGGAUUAGGCUUGGAAAGUUGAUUAUUAACCCCAAUCCCCUGUUUGGUAUGUGAUGAGGAAUUGCUAGUGGGGGUUUGACUGGAAGUUAUCUUCCCAGGUUUGGUUCGUAGGUUUUGACGUGGGCAGAAACACAAAACUACACUACGGUGGAAUGUGGGCAACGAACUCCCUAUCCCUUAUUUGAAUUACCUGUGUCCUUCUAGGAAGAAAACUGUGGGAGUUUGACAUACGAACUCCCUUUCCCCUUCCUACCUGAAAUCCCAUGUCCUCCAACCAAUCAACGGAUGGUAAGUCUAACCUCGCCUAAACUCCCAUUCCCAGCCUCCAACUUGAAGGAAAUAUGCCCUAAAGGCAAUAAUAAAGUUGUUAUUUAUAUUUUCUUAUAUCAUGAUAAAUGUUUAUUAUUCAUGCUAGAAUUGUAUUAACCGAAAACUUAGUACAUGUGUGAAUACAUAGACAAACAGAGUGUCUCUAGUAUCGGAAAGGUAUCUCUGGGUCCUCUCGGUAAUGCACAUCACUAUGAGCCUUGCAAGCAAUGUGUCACUGUGUAUCGGAAAGGUAUCUCUGGGUCCUCUCGGUAAUGCACAUCACUUGAGUUGGCAUAGAUCAAGAUUAGGAUUUGUCACUGUGUAUCGGAAAGGUAUCUCUGGGUCCUCUCAGUAAUGCACAUCACUAUGAGCCUUGCAAGCAAUGUGUAUAAUGAGUUAGCCAUGGGAUGAUGCAUUACGGAACGAGUAAAGAGACUUGCCGGUGACGAGAUUGAAAUAGGUAUGAUGAUACCGACGAUCGAAUCUCGGGCAAGUAACAUACCGAUGACAAAGGGAACAACGUAUGUUGUUAUGCGGUUUGACUGAUAAAGAUCUUCGUAGACUAUGUAGGAGCCAAUAUGAGCAUCCAGGUUCUGCUAUUUGUUAUUGACCGGAGAUGUGUCUCGGUCAUGUCUACAUAGUUCUCGAACCCGUAGGGUCCGCAUGCUUAAUGUUCGAUGACGAUUUGUAUUAUGAGUUUUGUGUUUUGAUGAACUGAAGUUUGUUCGGAGUCCCGAAUGAGAAGACGGACAUGACGAGGAGUCUCGAAAUGGUCGAGAGGUAAGGUUUCAUAUAUUGGAAGGUAGUAUUCGGACAUCGGAAUGGUUCCAAGUGAUUCGGGUUUUUUUCGGAGUACCGAGGGGUUACCGGAACCCGCCUGGGAAGUGUUGGGCCUACAUGGGCNNNNNNNNNNNNNNNNNNNNNNNNNNNNNNNNNNNNNNNNNNNNNNNNNNNNNNNNNNNNNNNNNNNNNNNNNNNNNNNNNNNNNNNNNNNNNNNNNNNNNNNNNNNNNNNNNNNNNNNNNNNNNNNNNNNNNNNNNNNNNNNNNNNNNNNNNNNNNNNNNNNNNNNNNNNNNNNNNNNNNNNNNNNNNNNNNNNNNNNNNNNNNNNNNNNNNNNNNNNNNNNNNNNNNNNNNNNNNNNNNNNNNNNNNNNNNNNNNNNNNNNNNNNNNNNNNNNNNNNNNNNNNNNNNNNNNNNNNNNNNNNNNNNNNNNNNNNNNNNNNNNNNNNNNNNNNNNNNNNNNNNNNNNNNNNNNNNNNNNNNNNNNNNNNNNNNNNNNNNNNNNNNNNNNNNNNNNNNNNNNNNNNUAGGACAAGGAGGAGGGGGCGCGGUCCUCCUUUCGUCUCCCUCUCCCUCUCCUUUGGGCGAAUCCUACUAGGAGUGGUGUCCUAGUAGGACUGCCCCCCAUGGCGCGCCCCCUCCUGGCCGGCCGCCUCCUCCUCCCCUCCUUUAUAUACGGGGGCUGGAGGCACCCCAAAGGGACAUCAAUUGUUCUCUUAGCCAUGUGCGGUGCCCCCUCCACAGUUUACUCCUCCGGUUAUAGCAUCGUAGUGCUUAGGCGAAGCCCUGCGCGGAUCACAUCACCAUCACCGUCACCACGCUGUCGUGCUGACAGAACUCUCCCUCAACCCUCUGCUGGAGCAAGAGUUCAAGGGACGUCAUCGAGCUGAACGUGUGUUGAACACGGAGGUGCCGUACGUUCGGUACUUGGUCGGUUGGAUCGCGAAGACGUUUGACUACAUCAACCGCGUUAACCUAACGCUUCCGCUUUCGAUCUAUGAGGGUACGUGGACACACUCUCCCCUCUCGUUGCUAUGCAUCUCCUAGAUAGAUCUUGUGUGAUCGUAGGAAGUUUUUUGAAAUUGCAUGCUACGUUCCCCAACAGUGGCAUCGGAGCCAGGUCUAUGCGUAAAUAAUAUGCACGAGUAGAACACAAUGAGUUGUGGGCGAUAAUAGUCAUACUGUUUACCACCAACAUCUUAUUUUGAUUCGGCGGUAUUGUUGGAUGAAGUGGCCCAGACCAACAUUACAUGACCACGUUCAUGAGACCGGUUCUACCGACGUGCUUUGCACACUGGUGGCUGGCGGGUGUCUGUUGCUCCAACUUUAGUUCAAUCAUUUGAUUACGGCCGGUCCUUGUUGAAGGUUAAAACAACACACUUGACAAAAAAUUGUUGUGGUUUUGAUGCGUAGGUAAGAACAGUUCUUGCUAGAAGCUCAUAGCCGCCACGUAAAACUUGCAACAACAAAGUAGAGGACGUCUAACUUGUUUUUGCAGGGCAUUUUGUGAUGUGAUAUGGUCAAGACGUGAUGAGAUAUAAAUUGUUGUAUGAGAUGAUCAUGUUUUGUAAAAGUUAUCGGCAACUGGCAGGAGCCUUAUGGUUGUCGCUUUAUUGUAUGAAAUGCAAUCGCCAUGUAAUUGCUUUACUUUAUCACUAAGUCGUAGCGAUAGUCGUAGAAGCAAUAGUUGGCGAGACGACAACGAUGCUACGAUGGAGAUCAAGGUGUCAAGCCAGUGACAAUGGAGAUCAUGACGGUGCUUUGAAGAUGGAGAUCAAAGGCCCAAAAUGAUGAUGGCCAUAUCAUGUCACAUAUUUUGAUUGCAUGUGAUGUUUAUCUUUUAUGCAUCUUAUUUUGCUUAGUACGGCGGUAGCAUUAUAAGAUGAUCCCUCACUAAAUUUCAAGGUAUAAGUGUUCUCCCUGACUAUGCACCGUUGCUACAGUUCGUCGUGUCGAGACACCACGUGAUGAUCGGGUGUGAUAAGCUCUACGUUCACAUAAACGGGUGCAAGCCAGUUUUGCACGUGCAGAAUACUUUGGUUAAACUUGACGACCCUAGCAUAUGUAGAUAUGGCCUCGGAACACUGAGACUGAAAGGUCGAACGUGAAUCAUAUAGUAGAUAUGAUCAACAUAGUGAUGUUCACCAUUGAAAACUACUCCAUCUCACGUGAUGAUCGGACAUGGUUUAGUUGAUAUGGAUCACGUGAUCAUUUAGAUGAUUAGAGGGAUGUAUAUCUAAGUGGGAGUUCUUAAGUAAUAUGAUUAAUUGAACUUUAAUUUAUCAUGAACUUAGUCCUGCAAGUUUUUUGCAUAUCUAUGCUGCUGUAGAUCAAUGGCCCGUGCUACCGUUCCCUUGAAUUUUAAUGCAUUCCUAGACAAAGCUAAGUUCAAAGAUGAUGGUAGCAACUACACGGACUAGGUCCGUAACUUGAGGAUUAUCCUCAUUGCUGCACAAAAGAAUUACGUCCUGGAAGCACCGCUAGGUGCAAGACCCGCUGCAGGAGCAACUCCGGAAGUUAUGAACGUCUGGCAGACUAAAGCUAAUGACUACUCGAUAGUUCAGUGUGCCAUGCUUUACGACUUAGAAUCAGGACUUCAAAGACGUUUUGAACGUCAUGGAGCAUAUGGGAUGUUCCAGGAGUUGAAGUUUAUAUUUCAAGCAAAUGCCCGAGUUGAGAGAUAUGAAGUCUCCAACAAGUUCUAUAGCCGCAAGAUGAAGGAGAACAGUGAUGAAGACAUGUACCUAGGGUAGGGACACGGACCUGACCAAAGAGUCCUACCCUAGGACACCCCUAGAAUAAGUCACCUUUCAAUCGACUUGAAGGUAUCCCACUUGACGGGUUCAAGACACUCGACCAAGAAGCUAUCACUCGACCAUGAAGCCAACCACUCGACUGCCAGGAGACCUAAAGUCACUCCGCAGGCAAACGGUUGGCUGUUAAGUAGUCUUUAUGAUCAUUAUAGCACUUUAUUAGGGGCGUUACCAGUAACGCCCAACCUUAAAUGUACCUUAAACCCUGCAUUACUGAGGGCAGGAGGGGGCCGGCGAACUCUAUAUAAGCCACCCCCUCCUCAGUAUGGAGGGUUCGCACCCCUGUAAUCCAUACACGCAUAAUCCAGUCGACCGCCUUCGGGCUCCGAGAUGUAGGGCUAUUACUUCCUCUGAGAAGGGCCUGAACUCGUAAACCUUGUGUGUAACAACUUCCCAAUAGCUAAGAUCUAGCCUCUCCAUAUUCACCCCCUACAUCACUGUCAGAGUUAGAACCACGACAGUUGGCGCCCACCGUGGGGCAGGAAUCUUAGCGCCUGAUUGGAGAAGUUGCGAUUCUUCCGAUCCCUUUGAUCAUGUUUUCUUGUAGAGUUUUGGUGGGGGACCGCGAGAUCCGUCUCGGCGCACUCACCUUCAUCGUCGAUGACUCCGCCUGGCUUCAGGAGGCACCACUCGACAUCGACGCGCUCCCCGUUCGCGGUGCGACGCACUUCCGCGCAUGCAUUCGUGGCGUCCUCCUGCGGCAUCCAUCGACCCAGUAUCGGUCGGCCCCUGCGUCAUCUCCCCGCCCUGUCUCCCACCAGCGCAAGCACUCCGGUCGGUCAAGACUUCAGCGGUGGGUGAGGCAUGCGUGGCCCGCUAGUCGGCAGCCCCACAAGUCGCGGCAAUCAAGCCCGUCGAAUCCCUCUACGGCCUGUUCGACCUGUCGACUGGUUCCGUGGAGACCGCAUCCGAGUGCGACAGCAGCGACCCAGCGGCUGAGGUUCUGGCGGUCGAUGGAACACACAGUCCCCCCGGUUUCCCUCACGCUGAUGGAGGCGCGGGUGGGGGCGAUCUGUCGCAUCCCCACGAUGAGUAUCUCCCCGAACCUCUCACAUCAUCACAGCGAGAGGAGCUUCGCCGCCGGAACACAGACGCCCUCCGCACCCCUAUCGUCGGAGAGUCCCCCGAGGCCCGGGCCUUGGAGGACGCGCGUUUGGCUAAUUUGGCCGAGCGCACUCGAUUGGAGAAUCUCCAGCGAGCACUCGACGAGCGAGCGCGUCAGCAGGCUCCCGAGUCUAGUCGACGCCAGCUCUUCCCGCCGACGCAGGUAUAUCAAACCCCAGUUCAGAAUUUGGCCGCUGCGGCCCGUAUAGCAGAAUCAAUUCAGCCCUCCCAGUCAGAGGCUGGCAGGGGCUUGUUACAGAUCAGAGCGUUGCUCCGGGCGGCGGGAAACCAGAAUUCCGCUGUCUCUCAGUCGCGGAAUAGGAUCCACAGUCGAUAUGUCGCAACAGAUACAAUCGAGUCGGCUCACAGCCCGAGAUCGCCCCCGAGGCGUGAGGGACGUGGUGACCGGCAUGAUCAGUAUAGGAGGAAUGAGCAGUAUGAUCACCGAUUCGACCGCGAUGAUCGACGUCGAGUGCCAACCCCUCCCCCGAGGAGUGGGUCGUAUGCGCCUCGACGGCAAGAUGAUAGACGCCCUCAUAAUGUUGGGCAGAGGAUUCUAGUCGACCCCAGAGACCCAGGCUUUGAUGCGAGAUCGAUCCUCGUUCAAGGUUUGGUUGACAGGAACAGAGCUCAUCGAGAAGGCCGCAACAGAGAUGCGCCUGCCAGCAGCAGAGUACAUGCUUCAGGGCCAGAGUGUUUCAGUCGAGCCAUCAGAGCCGCAGUGAUUCCUCCCAAUUUCAGGCUAGCGACUGGAAUCAACAAGUUCACCGGUGAAUCUAAGCCUGACACUUGGCUCGAAGAUUACCGAGUGGCUGUACAGAUUGGCGGUGGCAAUGAUGAGGUGGCCAUGAAGCAUUUACCUCUCAUGUUAGAGGGCUCAGCCAGAGCGUGGCUAAAUCAGUUGGCACCCAACAGCAUAUACACUUGGGAGGACCUCUCCCGAGUGUUUAUCACAACCUUUGAAGGAACAUGCAAGCGACCUGCAGGCCUUACAGAGUUGCGGUCUUGCGUGCAGAAGCCGAAUGAAACUUUGAGGGAAUACAUCCAGAGGUGGAUCACACUGCAUCACUCGGUUGAGAAUGUGCCAGAUCAUCAAGCAGUUUGUGCCUUCAAGGAAGGUGUUAAAUACAGAGAGUUGAAUCUGAAGUUCGGUCGAACUGGAGAGAUGUCUCUGAAUCGGAUGAUGGAGAUUGCCACCAAGUACGCUAACGGAGAAGAUGAAGAUCGACUCCGGAGUGGCAAGCAGAAAGCAGUCGCCCAGGAAACCGGAGGCAAUUCUGGUCGGAAGCAGAAGCGGAAGGCCGAGCCCGCUGCCCCUGGGGAGGCCCUGGCCGUAGCCCAGGGAAACUUCAAGGGAAAAUCCAAGGGCACCUGGAAGCCCAAGAAAAUCAAGGAUCAGGAUGGAAACGAUGUUUUGGACCUGCCGUGUCACAUCCACACCAAGAAAGAUGAAGAGGGCAAUUUUAUUUACCCAAAACAUACCACUCGACAGUGUCGGCUCCUAAUCCAGCAGUUUCAAGGCAAGCGGUCCAAGGACAAGGAAAAAGAGUCAGAUAGAGUUGAGGACAAGGAAGACAGUGACGAUGGAUACCCCCAAGUCAAUUCCACCCUGAUGAUUUUUGCCGAUGUCGAAAGCAAAAGUCGACUGAAAGUCAUUAACCGAGAGGUGAACAUGGUUGCCCCGGCAACACCCAGUUACCUGAAGUGGUCUCAGACUGCCAUCACAUUCGACCAGUCUGAUCACCCGACGCACAUUGCCACCCCUGGGAGGCAAGCUUUGGUGGUCGACCCAAUUGUUGAAGGCACUCGGCUGACUAAAGUCCUGAUGGAUGGUGGCAGUGGCCUGAACAUACUGUAUGCUGAAACAUUGAAAGGAAUGGGCAUUCCGAUGUCCAGGCUUAGUACCAGUAACAUGAAUUUCCACGGAGUCAUUCCGGGGAAGAAAGCCCAAUCACUCGGCCAGAUCGCUCUUGGUGUGGUUUUCGGUGAUUCAAAGAAUUACCGCAAGGAAAAGUUGACAUUCGAGGUUGUGGACUUCCAAAGUGCUUAUCACGCCAUUUUGGGCAGGCCAGCUUACGCACGCUUCAUGGCCCGACCAUGUUACGUGUAUCUCAAACUGAAGAUGCCUGGCUCCAAAGGUGUGAUCACUGUUACGGGCUAUCGGAAGAAGGCGGAAGAGUGCUUCCAGAAGGGCUCAAAGAUUGCAGAUGCUCAGACGGCAGUGGUCGAGCUGCAAGAGUACCAAAAGACUGCCGAUCCAAGCGAGUUGCUACGAGCCAAGAAGCCUGCUUCAGAAUCAGCUUUUCAGUCGUCCGGUGAAACAAAGACAAUCCACAUUCACCCAACCGACCCCGAUGCUGCCCCGACUCACAUCUCAACGACGCUCGACUCCAAAUAGGAAGAAGCGCUCAACCAGCUCCUCCGUGAGAACUGGGACAUCUUCGCAUGGAAACCCUCUGACAUGCCUGGAGUUCCCAGGGGGCUGGCUGAGCACCGUCUACGAGUCGACCCAAAAUUCAAGCCUGUGAAGGAACAUCUUCGACGAUCCGCCCUCCAGAAGAAGCAAGCCAUUGGCGAGGAGGUGGCUCGGCUCUUAGCAGCAGAGUUCAUCUGAGAAAUUUACCACUCCGAGUGGCUCGCCAAUGUCGUCAUGGUCCCCAAGAAAGACAAGUCACUUCGCAUGUGCAUUGAUUUCAAACAUAUCAAUCGGGCCUGCCCGAAAGAUCAUUUUCCUCUCCCUCGCAUCGACCAAAUAGUUGACUCAACUGCGGGAUGCGAGAGGUUGUCUUUUCUAGAUGCUUAUUCCGGGUACCAUCAGAUCCGUCUAUAUGGACCCGACGAAAUCAAAACAGCCUUCAUCACCCCAUUCAGAUGCUUCUGUUAUGUCACCAUGCCGUUCGGCCUCAAGAACGCCGGAGCCACAUUCAUGAGAAUGAUUCAGAAGUGUUUACUCACUCAAAUCAGUCGGAAUGUGGAGGCAUACAUGGAUGAUAUUGUGGUCAAGUCACGCAAAGGUUCCGAUCUGCGAGAUGACCUUGACGAAACCUUUGCCAACCUCAGGAGGUAUGAUAUCAAGCUCAAUCCAUCAAAGUGCACAUUCGGAGUUCCAGGUGGAAAGUUACUCGGUUUUCUCGUUUCCGAAUAGGGGAUCGACGCCAAUCCUGAAAAAAUUGGCACCAUACUCCGGAUGAAGCGUCCCAUUCGUGUGCACGAUGUCCAAAAGCUUACGGGCUGCUUGGCCGCCCUAAGUCGAUUCAUUUCUCGUCUCGGUGAAAAGGCGUUGCCCCUUUACCGACUGAUGAAGAAGUCUGACAAGUUCAAGUGGACUCCAGAAGCUGAUGCAGCAUUUGCAGAGCUCAAAGCUCUGCUCUCCACCCAGCCGGUGCUUGCUGCCCCAAUCAGAAAAGAGCCUCUGCUGCUUUACAUUGCAACCACAGGCAAGUUGUCAGCACAGUACUUACGGUCGAGCGGGAAGAAGAAGGAAAGGCCUUUAGAGUUCAGCACCCAGUCUAUUAUGUGUCUGAAGUUUUGACACCUUCAAAACAAAGAUACCCUCACUACCAGAAGCUUGUAUAUGGGAUUUAUAUGACCACCAAGAAGGUUGCACAUUACUUCUCUGACCACUCCAUUACAGUUGUCAGCGACGCCCCACUGUCAGAGAUUCUGCAUAAUAGAGAUGCAACUGGUCGAGUGGCCAAGUGGGCGAUUGAACUCCUUCCCUUAGAUAUCAAGUUUGAAGCAAAGAAGGCUAUCAAGUCCCAAGCAAUCACAGAUUUCAUCGCCGAGUGGAUUGAACAACAACUUCCGACUCAAGUUCACUCGGAGCACUGGACCAUGUUCUUCGAUGGAUCUAAGAUGCUGAAUGGUUCCGGUGCUGGGGUAGUUCUAGUCUCCCCCCGAGGAGAUAAGCUCAGAUAUGUUCUCCAGAUUCACUUCGAUUCCUCCAACAAUGAAGUAGAGUAUGAAGCACUUUUAUAUGGAUUGCGCAUGGCCAUUUCACUCGGCGUCCGUCGCCUCAUGGUCUAUGGCGACUCAGAUUUGGUGGUUAAUCAGGUGAUGAAGGAGUGGGACGUCAGAAGUCCAGCUAUGACUGGUUAUUGCAAUGCAGUGAGAAAGCUAGAAAAGAAAUUCGAGGGGUUAGAGCUUCAUCACAUCCCCCGACUGAAAAAUCAAGCAGCUGAUGAUCUGGCAAAGAUAGGCUCCAAGAGAGAAGCCAUUCCCAGCAAUGUGUUUUUGGAGCACAUUCGCUCGCUGUCAGUCCAGGAGGAUCCUUUCACAGAAGAAGCCCCACAACCGAAAAGUGCCACAGAUCCGACUGAAGUCGAAGUUCCUGCUGUGGUCGACCUAAUCAUGGAAGUCUUGGCAAUCACUCCCGACUGGACAAUACCGUACAUCGCGUAUAUCCUAAGGAAAGAUCUCCCAGAAGACGAGGAAGAGGCUCGACAGAUCGUCCGCCGAUCCAAGGCCUUCACAGUCAUAAAGGGGAAGUUGUAUAGAGAAAGCCCGACUGGAAUCGGUCAGAAGUGCAUAACACCAGAAGAAGGUCGGAUAAUCCUUGAUGAUAUCCACUCGGGGACCUGUGGCCACCAUGCGUCCUCUCAGACCAUUGUGGCUAAAGCAUACCGAGCGGGAUUUUACUGGCCUAGAGCAAAUGAGAUGGCAAAAGAGAUAGUCGACAAGUGUGGAGGCUGCCAGUUCUACUCCAACAUGUCACACAAGCCUGCAUCAGCCCUGAAGACCAUUCCACUCGUCUGGCCCUUUGCUGUCUGGGGACUGGACAUGGUUGGUCCACUGAGAACAGGCAGGAGCGGAUUCACGCAUGUGCUUGUGGCAGUCGACAAGUUCACCAAAUGGAUUGAAGCCAAGCCUAUCAAGAACCUCGAUGCUGGCACUGCUAUCAGUUUCGUCAGAGGACUAACAUUCAGAUAUGGAGUCCCUCAUAGCAUCAUCACUGACAAUGGGUCAAACUUCGAUUCAGACCAGUUCAGAGCUUUUUGCGCCUCUCAAGGCACACGAGUCGACUACGCGUCGGUCGCGCAUCCUCAGUCGAAUGGACAAGCUGAAAGAGCAAAUGGUUUGAUUCUCAAAGGACUGAAGCCUCGGCUGAUGCGUGAUCUCAAGCACGCGGCAGGUGCUUGGGUCGACGAGCUUCCGUCAGUUCUGUGGGGAUUGAGGACCACCCCUAACCGGUCGACUGGAAGAACUCCAUUCUUUCUGGUUUAUGGAGCCGAAGCGGUUCUGCCAAGUGAUCUUCUUCACAACGCGCCCUGAGUCGAGCUUUACACCGAAGAUGAAGCAGAACAGGCCCGGCAUGACGCAGUCGACCUCCUAGAAGAAGAGAGGGAGAUGGCCAUGACCAGAUCGACCAUUUAUCAGCAAGACUUGCGUCGAUUCCACGCCCGGAAUGUGAAGAGUCGAGCCUUCCAAGAAGGAGAUUUGGUCCUCCGAGUGGAUCAACAGAAACCACACAAGCUUGCUCCUACUUGGGAAGGCCCCUUCAUCAUCACCAGAGUCCUCCACAAUGGAGCGUAUCACCUCUACAAUAUUGAUCGCUAGGUCGACGAGCCUCGAGCUUGGAAUGCGGAACUACUCCGCCCCUUUUACACUUGAGCUCUCCCUUGGACGAGAUGUAAUAAGAAAAAUUCUUGCAGUUCGUUUUUAUCAAAGGCAAGAGUGUUCCAUUAAUUGUUAUCACUUUUGUUUUCAUACGGAAUCCCCCAGUGGGUGACUUAGCUGCGAAUCCGUUUGCCUAAGUUUGAAAAAAUCCUACCGAGUGGAGAGCGAUCCUCCCACUCGGAGGCUUAGCUGCAGUCCAGCACUCGCCUAAGUUCUCUCACCUAGAGACUUAGCUGCAGUCCGGCACUCGCCUAAGUUUGAAAAAAUCCUACCGAGUGGAGAGCAAACCUCCCACUCGGAGGCUUGGCUGCAGCCCAGUGCUCGCCUAAGUGUUUAAAAUCCUACCGAGUGGAGAGCGAUCCUCCCACUCGGAGGCUUACCUGCAGUCCAGCACUCGCCUAAGUUCUCUCACCUAGAGACUUAGCUGCAGUCCGGCACUCGCCUAAGUUUGAAAAAAUCCUACCGAGUGGAGAGCAAACCUCCCACUCGGAGGCUUAGCUGCAGCCCAGUGCUCGCCUAAGUGUUUAAAAUCCUACCGAGUGGAGAGCNNNNNNNNNNNNNNNNNNNNNNNNNNNNNNNNNNNNNNNNNNNNNNNNNNNNNNNNNNNNNNNNNNNNNNNNNNNNNNNNNNNNNNNNNNNNNNNNNNNNNNNNNNNNNNNNNNNNNNNNNNNNNNNNNNNNNNNNNNNNNNNNNNNNNGGCACUCGCCUAAGUUUGAAAAAAUCCUACCGAGUGGAGAGCGAUCCUCCCACUCGGGGGCUUAGCUGCAGUCCAGCACUCGCCUAAGUUCUCUCGCCUAGAGACUUAGCUGCAGUCCGGCACUCGCCUAAGUUUGAAAAAAUCCUACCGAGUGGAGAGAGAUCCUCCCACUCGGGGGCUUAGCUGCAGUCCAGCACUCGCCUAAGUUCUCUCGCCUAGAGACUUAGCUGAAGUCCGGCACUCGCCUAAGUUUGAAAAAAUCCUACCGAGUGGAGAGCAAACCUCCCACUCGGGGGCUUAGCUGCAGCCCAGUGCUCGCCUAAGUGUUUAAAAAUCCUACCGAGUGGAGAGNNNNNNNNNNNNNNNNNNNNNNNNNNNNNNNNNNNNNNNNNNNNNNNNNNNNNNNNNNNNNNNNNNNNNNNNNNNNNNNNNNNNNNNNNNNNNNNNNNNNNNNNNNNNNNNNNNNNNNNNNNNNNNNNNNNNNNNNNNNNNNNNNNNNNNNNNNNNNNNNNNNNNNNNNNNNNNNNNNNNNNNNNNNNNNNNNNNNNNNNNNNNNNNNNNNNNNNNNNNNNNNNNNNNNNNNNNNNNNNNNNNNNNNNNNNNNNNNNNNNNUUAGCUGCAGUCCAGCACUCGCCUAAGUUCUCUCGCCUAGAGACUUAGCUGCAGUCCGGCACUCGCCUAAGUUUGAAAAAAUCCUACCGAGUGGAGACCAAACCUCCCACUCGGGGGCUUAGCUGCAGCCCAGUGCUCACCUAAGUGUUUAAAAAUCCUACCGAGUGGAGAGCAAACCUCCCACUCGGGGGCUUAGCUGCAGCCCAGUGCUCGCCUAAGUGUUUAAAAAUCCUACCGAGUGGAGAGCAAACCUCCCACUCGGGGGAUUAGCUGCAGCCCAGUGCUCGCCUAAGUGUUUAAAAAUCCUACCGAGUGGAGAGUAAACCUCUCACUCGGAGGCUUAGCUACAGCCCAGUGCUCGCCUAAGUACAAGACUCGACCUAAUCCGCGAGUCGACCGCUACCUUCUCCCUCGGUGCUGCGUCGCAAAUACAAGAUUAUUCCGAGUGAAGAUCAAGUUCCACUCGACGAAUCAAACAGUGAAGAUAUCCAACGAGAAAUCAAGUUCAGAAAAAGCCCAGAAGGUCCCAGACCUCAAAGUACUCGGGCCCUCGACUUGGCGAGUUUAAACGGUUACAAAUCCACUCGGCAUCCCGAGGUAAAUUCAAAGUUUUUCACUCCUCGGGAGGAGGACUAGAAGGGGCGACGAACUCAUCCAAGUCGAUCCCGUCGGCAAUGCGGGUGGCAGCAGCGAUGAAGGUCUCCAUGAAGUCUUGAAAGCUGUGCUUCCUGGUAUUGGCAACUUGGAUGGCCGCCAACUUUUCUUAUCGCGCCUCCUUGCAAUGGACGCGGACCAGAGACAGAGCGACAUCAGCACCACAUCUAGCAGAAUAUUUCUUCCAUUCCGCCACUCGACCUGGGACUUUGUUAAGUCGAGCCAUCAGAGACUCGAGGUCGUUCUGAAGCGUCGUCCCAGGGCAGAGUGAUGUGUCGAUCCGCGACAUUGCAACUUUCAGCCGAUCCAGAUAAUCAACGAUGCUGGUAACACGAGACUCCAGUCGGAGCACGUUCAUGGCAGCCUCGUCCUUCACAAGAGAGUUAACAGGGUCCAAGCUUGGCCACACUUGACUGGUCUCCUCUUCAAAGUUCUGACAGAAUUCUGCAAACACGAUUCAAGAGUAAGACAGUGGCCCUACGCAGGCUUGGCAAACUGCAAGACAUUCGGGGCAGAGUAAUUACCUUCGAGCAUGACGAACAGCUUCUUGGCAAGUCCACCGAGAUAAACCUCCAGGUCUUUUACCUUCCCCGCCAGCUCACCCGCCUUGUCGUGCAGAGCCAUCUUCUCCUUCUUCAGUCGACUGGCAUCUCGAUUAGCUGUCUCGAGAGCGGUUUUCAGUCUGGAGUUCUCCUGUUCAAGAGCUCUGACCGAAGCCAAUUUCUCCUCUACAAGCUUCGUUUUGCUCGAGGCCUCCUUCUGUGCCUCUGCAAGGUCUUGGUCCUUCUUCCUCAGAGCUUCCUCUAGUUUAUCUGUGGUGCGUCGAGUGGAACCAACAUCAAGAAUGGACAAGAAAGAAAAACCACCUGUUAAGAAUAGAGAACCUCACAAGCCAUACCUUUUGCUUCUUCUUGCGCCUUCCUCAAAUUCUCCUGAGCAAGCUUCAAGUUAAGGUUGAGCUGGAUCUGCUGAUUCUCCAACUCAGUAUAGCGAGCUACAAGUUCGCAAGAUUUCUGUAAAAAGGAAAAUCAGUCGACAGGCGUCCAAGAUAAGUUGCUUCCGAGUAACUAAGAGACAAUGAUGACGUUUCUAAAGACCACAGCCGAAUCAAAAACAUUUGACAGUAGUCUCGGGGACUACACCCAGUGGGUGCACUCAGCGUGCCCCCACUGGUUCGACCAAAAAAAAAAGUCGACUGCCCGCAGUCGACCGGAUACAAUUCCACUCGAUCUGGCCCGACCAAACCGAGUGAAGAAAUACAUCUACAGCAACACAAUGUAAAGACUACAGUCGACUGCCAGCAGUCCACCGUAGUCUCGGGGACUACACCCAGUGGGUGCACUUAGCGUGCCCCCACUCGUCCAAGAAUUGGAAGACACACCCAGUGGGUGUACAGAUGCAGAUACAAAAGAUCUCGGAAAAGAGACUCUUCAAACAGCAUAUCAUAACAGACCAAGUGUUGAGUCGACUGACCUGGACGUUGCUCUGAAGAGCCGAACUCGCGUCAUAGGCUGCUUGGCUGGCCUCCCGAUCCAUCUUCACUUGCUCCAUCAUGAUCCCUGCCUGGCGUAUAGCCUCCUUUGCAGCAGCCGCUUGGUCCUUAGGGACGGGGUAUGUGGCAAAAAGCGAAGACGGAUCCGCAGUCGACGACGAGGGCCGCGCACUCGCCAGAGGAACGGCGAAGGUCACUGAAGCCCGAGUGGUGUCACCACCAUCCCGAGCCUCGGCCUCGGACGCCGGAGCGGAUUGGGGGGUCUUGUUAGCCGACGCCCUCUUGUGCCUCCUCACUCUCAAUGGACCGUUGUCAUCGUCAUCCGGGAGGUCGAUAACAUGAGGAGGGGCUACAAAGGAAAAGUUCAAUCGACCAGCGUUGCAGCAAAUGACCAGUCGACUCAAUACAGAAUGUCAGUAAUCGUACCAGGGUUGGAGGUAGCAGCAUCCUCCAUCUCUUGGUCGUCACCCUUGGCGGAGACCUCAGAAGUAGCAGCACUGCAAAACUCGAAAGUCAGUCGGUUGGCUCAAUGGAUCGACCAAGGAUCUGUCCAUGGUCGAUGAAGGAAAACAAGUUUUAUUAUUACCCGGAGAUGGUAGGAACAGCUAUCUUCAUCUUGGGCAGAGCCUUGGGCGGCUUGGAUGGCGUCGCUCGUGGAUGCUUGGGAGCCUUCCCAGUCGGCGGAGGAGAAGAAGUCCGAGGGCGUUUCGACGACUGCCCAACAGGAGCAGUCGCCUUGCCACGUUCCCGCGCUGGAUCGUGGGUGAGCUUGGAUCGCCCCUCCGGGCGGGGGGUUCAACCUCCUCCUCCUCCCCUUCGCUGGAGAAGAUGUCGUCGCCUCCCUCUCCCUCACCGUCGGACUCCCACUCGCCUUGGUCGUCCCCGCUCUCACCUCCGCUCGCCUCCCCUUCCUCAGUCGACCCCUGUGCCCCGUUGGGCGUCGAGUACAUCUUGGUGGUCGCCUGGAAAACAACAGACAAGACGAAAGUCAAUCGACUUAUUCAAAGAAGACCAAUACAGAAGACAAGAUAUCAGUCGGGAGCACCAAGACAUACCUGGUCCACCUCAUACGAGUUGUCGAGUGGGAUUACCCUCCUGGCUCCUCGGGGGUUGUCUUUGUUCCCCGUGAUGCUCGACAGCCACCCCUCCACCAUCUCGUCGGUGACCUCCUCCGGGUGGACCCGAGUGGUGUCGUCAAGACCCGAAUACAGCCACAUCGGGUGGUCGCGGGCCUGGAGCGGUUGGAUGCGCCUUUGAAGGAAGACCUCCAGCAGGUCCAUACCAGUCACGCCCUCGCGGACAAGCUCAACCACUCGACUUGCCAGCACCUUGACUUGGGCCUUUUCCUCCGGCGCGACUUUCAGAGAGGCAGGCUUCUCGGCUCGGUCGAGUGAAAAAAGUGGAAGACCAGUCAACUGUCCUAGGGUCGCCUCGUCCUUGCAGUAGAACCAGGUCGACUGCCAGCCACGGACCGACUCCGGGAAGGUGAUAGAUGGAAAACAACUCUUCCCCCUCGUCUGGAUCGCCAGGCCCCCGCAUAGCUGGAUCACCUGCGUCCUCUCGUCACUCGACUUAGCCUUCUUGACCGAUUGAGAACGGCAGGUAAAGAUGUGUUUGAAGAGUCCCCAAUGAGGUCGACAACCCAAGAAAGCCUCACACAUAGAGAUGAAAGCAGCAAGGUAGACAAUGGAGUUGGGAGUGAAGUGGUGGAGCUGCGCUCCAAAGAAAUUCAGGAAACUCCGGAAGAAAGGAUGGGGCGGCAGAGAAAACCCUCGGUCGAUGUGGGUGGCUAGGAGCACGCACUCACCGUCGCGGGGUUGAGGUUCGAUCUCUCCCCCCGGAAGACGCGCAGCUUCAUGGGGAAUGACUCCCCCCUCGACCAUGUCGUCGAGAUCCUCUUGCCGGAGCACCGAUGGCAUCCAGUCGCCCUGGAUCCAACCUUUGGGCAGAGCGGUCCUGGAGGAGGAUCCGCCCCGAGCAGACCUCUUCCCUUUCCCCGCCGCCGCCGCCUUCUUCGCGCGCUCUAGAGCGGAGGUCUUGCUCUUCGUCAUCGUCGCCGGCGAAGUCUCACACGGGCCUGCUACGCUGGGGCGAGAACGGAGGUGGCGGAAGGACUUGCGAAGGGGGAGAGGCGGAAGAAAGGAGGAGAAGAGAGUGCACUGCUUGAAAACCCCGAGCCAGCGAUUUAUAAGGGACCGCUUCCGAGUGGCUGACUGGUAGGCCCAGGCCAUCCAGUCAAAUCCCGCAGCAGACGCGCGCGCAGUACAUGGCGAAAAAGGCGACGCGGGGAUCGAGGAGCUUCCGCUUUAUCGCUUCCGAUUACUGCGGCCGCUCCCGUCCCGCGUGCUUCCCAAAAUCCGAAUCCCGCGACAUCCGUGGGCCGCAGAACACCUUGUCAAAACAGAAGACCCCGAUCGCGCCGGCGCUCGGUAUGUCACAAACAAAGAAAUUCACUCGACGAAAGGCCUGGAAUGGAUCAAGGCGACUGAAAAAGGUUGGCAACGUCAUCCAUGACGAUUGACCCAAAACGAGGCGCUCACAUAGCCCGAAGAACCAGUCGGAAAGAUCUCCAACUCUUUCCCCACUCUAACCUCGAUCCAUUCGGGGGCUAACGAUGAAGACAUGUACCUAGGGUAGGGACACGGACCUGACCAAAGAGUCCUACCCUAGGACACCCCUAGAAGAAGUCACCUUUCAAUCGACUUGAAGGUAUCCCACUCGACGGGUUCAAGACACUCGACCAAGAAGCUAUCACUCGACCAUGAAGCCAACCACUCGACUGCCAGGAGACCUAAAGUCACUCCGCAGGCAAACGAUCGGCUGUUAAGUAGUCUUUAUGAUCAUUAUAGCACUUUAUUAGGGGCGUUACCAGUAACGCCCAACCUUAAAUGUACCUUAAACCCUGCAUUACUGAGGGCAGGAGGGGGCCGGCGAACUCUAUAUAAGCCACCCCCCUCCUCGGUAUGGAGGGUUCGCACCCCUGUAAUCCAUACACGCAUAAUCCAGUCGACCGCCUCCGGGCUCCGAGACGUAGGGCUAUUACUUCCUCUGAGAAGGGCCUGAACUCGUAAACCUCGUGUAUAACAACUUCCCAAUAGCUAAGAUCUAGCCUCUCCAUAUUCACCCCCCUACAUCACUGUCAGAGUUAGAACCACGACAAACAGUUCUGUCAGUGAACACAUACUCAGAAUGUCUGGGUACCAUAACUACUUGACUCAACUGGGAGUUAAUCUUCCUGAUGAUAGUGUAAUUGAUAGAGUUCAUCAAUCACUACCACCAAGCUAUAAAGGCUUCGUGAUGAACUAUAACAUGCAAGGGAUGGAAAAGACAAUUCCCGAGCUCUUCGUGAUGCUAAAGGCUGUGGAGAUAGAAAUCAAGAAGCAGCAUUAAGUGUUGAUGGUUAACAAGACCACUAGUUUCAAGAAAAAAGGCAAAGGGAAGAAGGGGAACUUCAAGAAGAAUAGCAAGCAAGUUGCUGCUCCCGGGAAGAAGCCCAAGUCUGGACCUAAGCCUGAAACUGAGUACUUCUACUGCAAAGGCACUGGUCACUGGAAGCGGAACUGCGCUCAUAUUUGCAACUCGAAACAGGGGCUACGGAUUAAUCGAAGAUUGGCUAAGGAUGAGGUGACGAUGCGCGUCGGAAAUGGUUCCAAGGUUGAUGUGAUCGCCAUCGGCACGCUACCUCUACAUCUACCUUCAGGAUUAGUUUUUGACCUGAAUAAUUGUUAUUUGGUGCCAGCAUUGAGCAUGAACACUAUAUCUGGAUCUUGGUUGAUGCGAGACGGUUAUUCACUUAAAUAAGAGAACAAUGGUUGUUCUAUUUAUGUGAAUAAUAUCUUUUAUGGUCAUGCACCCUUGAUGAGUGGUCUAUUUUUGUUGAAUCUCGAUCGUAGUGAUACACAUAUUCAUAAUAUUGAAUCCAAAAGAUGCAAAGUUAAUGAUGAUAGUGCAACUUAUUUGUGGCACUGCCGUUUAUGUCAUAUUGGUGUAAAGCUCAUGAAGAAACUCCAUGUUGAUGGAGUUUUGGAAUCACUUGAUUAUGAAUCACUUGAUACUUGCGAACCAUGCCUCAUGGGCAAGAUGACUAAGACUCCGUUCUCCAAAACAAUGGAGCGAGCCACUGACUUAUUGGAAAUAAUACACACCGAUGUAUGCGGUCCGAUAGUGUUGAGGAUCGCGACGGGUAUCGUUAUUUUCUAACCUUCACAGAUGAUUUGAGCAGAUAUGGGUAUAUCUACUUAAUGAAACAUAAGUCUGAAACAUUUGAAAAGUUCAAAGAAUUAUAGAGUGAAGUAGAAAAUCAUCAUAACAAGAAAAUAAAAUUUCUACAAUCUGAUCGUGGAGGUGAAUAUUUGAGUUAUGAGUUUGGUCUUCAUUUGACACAAUGUGGAAUAGUUUCGCAACUCACGCCACCUGGAACACCACAGUGUAAUGGUGUGUCCGAACGUCGUAACCGUACUUUAUUAGAUAUGGUGCGAUCUAUGAUGCCUCUUACCGAUUUACCACUAUCGUUUCGGGGUUAUGCUUUAGAGACAGAUGCAUUCACAUUAAAUAGGGCACCAUCUAAAUCCGUUGAGAUGACACCAUAUGAACUGUGGUUUAGCAAGAAACCUAAGCUGUCGUUUCUUAAAGUUUGGGGUUGCGAUGCUUAUCUGAAAAAGCUUCAACCUGAUAAGCUCGAAACCAAAUCGGAGAAAUGCGUCUUCAUAUGAUACCCAAAGGAAACUAUUGGGUACACCUUCUAUCACAGAUCCGAAUGCAAGAUAUUUGUUGCUAAGAAUGGAUCCUUUCUAGAGAAGGAGUUUCUCUCGAAAGAAGUGAGUGGGAGGAAAGUAGAACUUGAUGCGGUAUUUGUACAUUCUCCCGAAUUGGAAAGUAGUUCAUCACAGAAAUCAGUUCCAGUGAUUCCUACACCAAUUAGUGAGGAAGCUAAUGAUGAUGAUCAUGAAACUUCAGAUCAGGUUACUACCGAACCUCGUAGGUCAACCAGAGUACGAUCCGCACCGAAGUGGUACAGUAAUCAUGUUUUGGAAGUCAUGUUACUGGACCAUGACGAAACUACGAACUAUGAGGAAGCGAUGAUGAGCCUAGAUUCUGCGAAAUGGCUUGAGGCCAUGAAAUCUGAGAUGGGAUCCAUGUAUGAGAAUAAAGUGUGGACUUUGGUUGACUUGCCCGAUGAUUGGAAAGCCAUAGAGAAUAAAUGGAUCUUGAAGAAGAAGACUGACGUUGACGGUAAUGUUACUGUCUACAAAGCUCGAGUUGUUGCGAAAGGUUUUCGACAAGUUCAAGGAAUUGACUAUGAUGAGACCUUCUCACCCGUAGCGAUGCUUAAGUCUAUCUGAAUCAUGUUAGAAAUUGCCACAUUUUAUGAUUAUGAAAUUUGGCAAAUGGAUGUCAAAACUGCAUUCCUUAAUGGAUUUCUUAAAGAAGAGUUGUAUAAGAUGCAACCAGAAGGUUUUGUCGAUCCUAAAGGUGCUAACAAAAUGUGCAAGCUCCAGCGAUCCAUUUAUGGACUGGUGCAAGCCUCUCGGAGUUGGAAUAUACGCUUUGAUAGUGUGAUCAAAGCAUAUAGUUUUAUAUAGACUUUUGGAGAAGCUGUAUUUACAAGAAUGUAAGUGCGAGCUCUGUAGCAUUUCUAAUAUUAUAUGUGGAUGACAUAUUGUUGAUUGGAAAUAAUACAGAAUUUCUGGAUAGCAUAAAAGGAUACUUGAAUAAGAAUUUUUCAAUGAAAGACCUCGAUGAAGCUGCUUAUAUAUUGGGCAUCAAGAUCUAUAGAGAUAGAUCAAGACGCUUAAUUGGACUUUCACAAAGCACAUACCUUGAUAAAGUUUUGGAGAAGUUCAAAAUGGAUCAGUCAAAGAAAGGGUUCUUUCCUGUGUUUCAAGGUGUGAAGUUGAGUCAAACUCAAUGCCCGACCACUGCAGAAGAUAGAGAGAAAAUGAAAGUCAUUCCCUAUGCUUCAUCCAUAUGUUCUAUCAUGUAUGCAAUGUUGUGUACCAGACCUGAUGUGUGCCUUGCUAUAAGUUUAGCAGAGAGGUACCAAAGUAAUCCAGGAGUGGAUCACUGGACAACAGUUAAGAACAUCCUAAAAUACCUGAAAAGGACUAAGGAUAUGUUUCUCGUUUAUGGAGGUGACAAAGAGCUUGUUGUAAAUGGUUACAUCGAUGCAAGCUUUGACACUGAUCCGGAUAAAAAUAAAAUUGGGUUGCCUCCCAACAAGCGCUAUCGUUUAACACCCCUAGCUAGGCAUAAAAAGCAAGGAUAGAUCUAGGUAUUGCCAUCUUUGGUAGGCAAUCCAUAAGUGGCUCUCAUAAUAGAUUCAUAAGGUAAUUUAAUUUUAUUUCUAGGAAAGCGUUCCAUGCCUUUCCUUAAUGGAAAUUGGAAUCUAAUAUUUCCUUCCUUCAUAUCAAUAAUUGCACCAAUCGUUCUAAGGAAAGGUCUACCAAGAAUAAUAGGACAUGAAGGAUUUCAAUCUAUGUGAAGAACAAUAAAAUCUAUGGGUACAUAAUUCCUAUUUUCAACAAUAAAAACAUCAUUAAUUCUUCCCAUAGGUUUUUUAAUAGUGGAUUCCGCAAGGUGCAAGUUUAGAGAACAAUCAUCAAAUUCACGGGAACCUAACAAAUCACACAAAGUCUUUGGAAUCGUGGAAACACUAGCACCCAAAUCACAUAAAGCAUAAAACUCAUGAUAUUUAAUUUUAUUUUUAAUAGUUGGUUCCCACUCAUCAUAAAGUUUUCUAGGGAUAGAAACUUCCAAUUCAAGUUUUUCUUCAUAAGAUUGCAUCAAGGCAUCAACGAUAUGUUUAGUGAACGCUUUAUUUUGACUAUAAGCGUGAGGAGAAUUUAGCACGGAUUGCAACAAGGAAAUACAAUUAAUCAAAGAGCAAUUUUCAUAAUUAAAUUCCCUAAAAUCCAAAAUAGUGGGUUUAGCAACAUCUAGGGUUUUAAUUUCUUCAAUCCCACUUUUAUCAAUUUUAGCAUCAAGAUCUAAAAACUCCGAAUUCUUGGAACGUCUUCUAGGUAAAGGUGGAUCAUAUUCAGUCCCAUCAUUAUCAAGAUUCAUAUUGCAAAACAAAGAUUUAAUAGGGGACACAUCUAUAACUUUUAGAUCUUCAUCUUUAUUUUCAUAGGAACUAGAAGAACACGCUCUUAUAAAGGCAUCUUUCUUAGCACGCAUCCUGGCGAUUCUUUCUUUGCACUCAUCAAUGGAAAUUCUCGUGCCUUUGAGAGUUUCAUUGAUAUCAUGCUUAGGUGUAAUAGAUCUAAGUUUCAAAGAAUCAGCAUCAAGAGAAAUUCUAUCAACGUUCCUAGCCAACUCAUCAAUCUUAAGCAAUUUUUCUUCAAUCAAAGCAUUGAAAUUCUUUUGCGAAAUAAUAAAUUCUUUAAUAUUAGAUUCAAAAUUAGAGGGCAUCUUAUUAUAAUUUCCAUAAGAAUUGUUGUAGAAAUUACCAUAAUUAUUGGAGGGAUUACUAGGAUAAGGCCUAGGAUUAAAAUUUCCUCUAUACUCGUUGUUACCAAAAUUGUUCCUACCAACAAAAUUCACAUCCAUAGAUUCAUUAUUAUUCUCAAUCAAAGUAGACAAGGGCAUAUCAUUAGGAUCAGAAGAAAUACUUUUACUAGCAAAUAAUUCCAUAAGUUCAUCCAUCUUUCCACUCAACACAUUAAUUUCUUCUAUCGCAUGCACCUUUUUAUUAGUAGAUCUUUCAGUAUGCCAUUGAGAAUAAUUAACCAUAAUAUUAUCUAGGAGUUUAGCAGCUUCUCCUAAAGCGAUUUCCAUGAAAGUGCCUCCCGCGGCCGAAUCUAAAAUAUGUCUAGAUGCAAAAUUGAAUCCAGCAUAAAAAAUUUGUAUAAUCAUCCACAAAUUCAAACCAUGAGUAGGGCAAUGACGUAUCAUUAAUUUCAUCCUCUCCCAAGAUUGUGCAACAUGUUCAUGAUCAAGUUGCUUAUAAUUCAUAAUAUCGUUUCUAAGGGAGAUGAUCUUAGCGGGAGGAAAAUACUUAGAGAUAAAAGCAUCUUUGCACUUAUUCCAUGAGUCAAUACUAUUUUUAGGCAAAGACGAAAACCAAGCUUUACCAUGAUCUUUAAGCGAAAAAGGAAAUAGCUUUAAUUUAACUAUAUCAUUAUCCACAUCUUUCUUCUUUUGCAUAUCACACAAAUCAAUGAAGCUAUUUAGAUGGGUAGCAGCAUCUUCACUAGGAAGGCCGGAAAACGGAUCUUUCAUGACAAGAUUCAGCAAAGCAGUAUUAAUUUCACAAGAUUCAGCAUCGGUAAGAGGAGCAAUCGGAGUGUGCUACCACUUGAGCACUGCAUUGGAUUUCCCCAAAGAGGAAGGGAUGAUGCAGCAAAGUAGCGUAAGUAUUUCCCUCAGUUUUUGAGAACCAAGGUAUAAAUCCAGUAGGAGGCUACGCUCGAGUCCCUCGUACCUACACAAAAACAAUAGCUCAAUGCAACCAACGCGCUUAGGGGUUGUCAAUCCCUUCACGGUCACUUACGAAAGUGAGAUCUAAUAGAGAUGAUAAGUAAUAUUUUUGGUAUUUUUGGUAUAGAUAUGAAAAGUAAAAAGUAAAAGCAAAGCAAUAAUAAAGUGAUGGAGAUUGAUAUGAUGAGAAAGAGACCCGGGGGCCAUAGGUUCCACUAGUGGCUUCUCUCAAGAGCAUAAGUAUUCUACGGUGGGUGAACAAAUUACUGUUGAGUAAUUGACAGAAUUGAGCAUAGUUAUGAGAAUAUCUAGGUAUGAUCAUGUAUAUAGGCAUCACGUCCAAGACAAGUAGACCGAAACGAUUCUGCAUCUACUACUAUUACUCCACGCAUCGACCGCUGUCCAGCAUGCAUCUAGAGUAUUAAGUUAAAAACAGAGUAACGCCUUAAGCAAGAUGACAUGAUGUAGAGGGAUAGUUUCAUGCAAUAUGAUAAAAACCCCAUCUUGUUAUCCUCGAUGGCAACGAUACAAUACGUGCCUUGCUGCCCCUUCUGUCACUGGGAAAGGACAACGCAAGAUCGAACCCAAAGCUAAGCACUUCUCCCAUGGCAAGAAAAACCAAUCUAGUAUGCCAAACCAAACUGAUAAUUCGAAGAGACUUGCAAAGAUAACCAAUCAUACAUAAAAGAAUUCAGAGAAGAUUCAAAUAUUAUUCAUAGAUAGACUUGAUCAUAAACCCACAAUUCAUCGGUCUCAACAAACACACCGCAAAAAGAAGAUUACAUCAAAUAGAUCUCCAUGAGAGAGGGGGAGAACAUUGUAUUGAGAUCCAAAAAGAGAGAAGAAGCCAUCUAGCUACUAACUAUGGACCCGUAGGUCUGAAAUAAACUACUCACACUUCAUCGGAGGGGCUUGGAUGAUGAUGUAGAAGCCCUCCGUGAUCGAUGCCCCCUCCGGCGGAGCUCCGGAACAGGCCCCAAGAUGGGAUCUCGUGGAUACAGAAAGUUGCGGCGGUGGAAUUAGGUUUUUGGCUGCAUCCCCGAUCAUUUGGGGGUACGUGGAUAUAUAUAGGAGGAAGAAGUACGUCGGUGGAGCUUCGAGGGGCCCACGAGGCAGGGGGCGCGCCCUAGGGGGGUGCCCUCCACCCUCAUGACUGCCUUGUGGAUUUCUUGACGGAGGGUCCAAGUCUCCUGGAUCUUAUCUGAUGAGAAAAUCACGUUUCCGAAGGUUUCAUUCCGUUUGGACUCCGUUUGAUAUUCCUUUUCUUUGAAACCCUAAAACAGGUAAAAACAACAAUUCUGGGCUGGGCCUCCGGUUAAUAGGUUAGUCCCAAAAAUAAUAUAAAAGUGGAUAAUAAAGCCCAAUAAUGUCUAAAAUAGUAUAUAAUAUAGCAUGGAGCAAUAAAAAAUUAUAGAUACGUUGGAGACGUAUCAAGCAUCCCCAAACUUAAUUCCUACUCGUCCUCGAGUAGGUAAAUGAUAAAAAAGAAUUUUUGAUGCGGAAUGCUACUUGGCAUAAUUUUAAUGUAAUUCUUCUUAAUUGUGGUAUGAAUAUUCAGAUCCGAAAGAUUCAAGACAAAAGUUCAUAUUGACAUAAAAAUGAUAAUACUUCAAGCAUACUAACUAAGCAAUUAUGUCUUCUCAAAAUAACAUGGCCAAAGAAAAUUCAUCCCUACAAAAUCAUAUGGUUUAGUCAUGUUUCAUUUUCGUCAGACAAGAAUGCUCUCAUCAUGCACAACCCCGAUGACAAGCCAAGCAAUUGUUUCAUACUUUAGUAAUCUCAAACCUAUAAACUUUCACGCAAUAUAUGAGCACGAGCCAUGGACAUAGCACUAUGGGUGGAAUAGAAUAUAAUGAGGGGGGUUAUGUGGAGAAGACAAAAAAGGAGAAAGUCUCACAUCAACAAGGAUAAUCAAUGGGCUAUGGAGAUGCCCACCGAUUGAUGUUAAUGCAAGGAGUAGGGAUUGCCAUGCAACGGAUGCACUAGAGAUAUAAAUGUAUGAAAGCUCAACAAAAGAAACUAGUGGAUGUGCAUCCAACUUGCUUGCUCAUGAAGACCUAGGGCACUUGAGGAGGCCCAUUGUUGGAAUAUACAAGCCAAGUUCUAUAAUGAAAAAUUCCCACUAGUAUAUGAAAGUGAUAACAUGAGAGACUCUCUACUAUGAAGAUCAUGGUGCUACUUUGAAGCACAAGUGUGAUCAAAGGAUAGUAACAUUGUCCCUUCUCUCUUUUUCUCUCAUUUUUUUGGGACUUCUCUUUUUUUAUGGCAUUUCUCUCUUUUUUUGGGGCCUUCUCUUUUUUAUGGCCUUUUUUUAUUCCUCACUUGGGACAAUGCUCUAAUAAUGAUGAUCAUCACACUUCUAUUUAUUUACAACUCAAUGAUUACAACUCGAUACUAGAACAAAGAUGACUCUAUAUGAAUGCCUCCGGCGGUGUACCGGGAUAUGCAAUGAACCAAGAGUGACAUGUAUGAAAGAAUUAUGAACGGUGGAUUUGCCACAAAUACUAUGUCAACUACAUGAUCAUGCUAAGCAAUAUGACAAUGAUGAAUGUGUCAUGAUGAACGGAAUGAUGGAAAGUUGCAUGGCAAUAUAUCUCGGAAUGGCUAUGGAAAUGCCAUAGUAGGUAGGUAUGGUGGCUGUUUUGAGGAAGAUAUAAGGAGGUUUAUGUGUGAAAGAGUGUAUCAUAUCACAGGGUUUGGAUGCACCGGCGAAGUUUGCGCCAACUCUCAAUGUGAGAAAGGGCAAUGCAUGGUACAGAAGAGGCUAGCAAGGAUGGAAGGGUGAGAGUGCGUAUAAUCCAUGGACUCAACAUUAGUCAUAAAGAACUCACAUACUUAUUGCAAAAAUCUACAAGUCAUCAAAAACCUCGGCACUACGCGCAUGCUCCUAGGGGGAUAGAUUGGUAGGAAAAGACCAUCGCUCGUCCCCGGCCGCCACUCAUAAGGAAGACAAUCAAAUAACACCUCAUGUUUAAAAUUUGUUGCAUAACGUUUACCAUACGUGCAUGCUACGGGACUUGCAAACUUCAACACAAGUAUUUCUCAAUUUCACAACUACUCAACUAGCAUGACUUUGAUAUUAUUACCUCCAUAUCUUAAAACAAUUAUCAAGCAUCAAACUUUUCUUAGUAUUCAACACACUCAUACGAAAGUUUUAUUAUUAAUCUGGCAUACCAAGCAGAUUAGGAUUUUAAGCAAAUUACCAUGCUAUUAAGACUCUCAAAAUAAUCUAAGUGAAGCAUGAGAGAUCAAUAGUUUCUAUAAAACAAAUCCACCACCGUGCUCUAAAAGAUAUAAGUGAAGCACUAGAGCAAAACUAUAAAGCUCAAAAGAUAUAAGUGAAGCACAUAGAGUAUUCUAUCAAAUUCCAAAUCAUGUAUGGCUCUCUCAAAACGUGUGUACAAUGAUGUCUACUACACAACCUUCUUCUUGUAGACGUUGUUGGGCCUCCAAGUGUAGAGGUUUGUAGGACAGUAGCAAAUUUCCCUCAAGUGGAUGACCUAAGGUUUAUCAAUCCGUAGGAGGCGUAGGAUGAAGAUGGUAUCUCUCAAGCAACCCUGCAACCAAAUAACAAAGAGUCUCUUGUGUCCCCAACACACCCAAUACAAUGGUAAAUUGUAUAGGUGCACUAGUUUGGCAAAGAGAUGGUGAUACAAGUGCAAUAUGGAUAGUAGAUAAUAGUAUUUGUAAUCUGAAAAUAUAAAAACAGCAAGGUAACAAGUGAUAAAAGUGAGCGUAAACGGUAUUGCAAUGUGUUAAAACAAGGCCUAGGGUUCAUACUUUCGCUAGUGUAAGUCCUCUCAACAAUACUAACAUAAUUUUAUCAUAAAACUAUCCCUCAACAUGCAACAAAGAGUCACUCCAAAGUCACUAAUAGCGGAGAACGAACGAAGAGAUUAUGGUAGGGUACGAAACCACCUCAAAGUUAUUCUUUCCAAUCAAUCCGUUGGGCUAUUUCUAUAAGUGUCACAAACAGCCCUAGAGUUCGUACUAGAAUAACACCUUAAGUAACAAAUAAACCAAAACCCUAAUGUCACCUAGAUACUCCAAUAUCACCUCAAGUAUCCGUGGGUAUGAUUAUACGAUAUGCAUCACACAAUCUUAGAUUCAUCUAUUCAACCAACACAAAGGACCUCAAAGAGUGCCCAAAAGUUUCUACCGGAGAAUCACGACGAAAAUGUGUGCCAACCCCUAUGCAUAGGUUCCCAAUGUCACGAAACCCGCAAGUUGGUCACCAAAACAUACAUCAAGUGGCACGUGGUAUCCCAUUGUCACCAUAGAUAUCCACGGCAAGACAUACAUCAAGUGUUCUCAAGUCUUUAAAAACUCAAUCCGAUAAGAUUACUUCAAAGGGGAAACUCGAUUCAUUACAAGAGAGAAGAGGGGGGAAGAAACAUCAUAGGAUCCAAAUAUAAUAGCAAAGCUCGUGAUACAUCAAGAUCGUAUCAUCUCAAGAACAUGAGAGAGAGAGAGAUCAAACACAUAGCUACUGGUACAUACCCUCAGCCCCGAGGGAGAACUACUCCCUCCUCAUCAUGGAGAGCACCGGGAUGAUGAAGAUGGCCACCGGAGAAGGAUUGCCCCUGAAUGGGUGUAGAUUGGUUUUCGGUGGCUACGGAGGCUUCUGGCGGCGGAACUCCCGAUCUAUUGUUGCGUUCUGGAAGUUUUAGGUCACGUAGGUAUAUAUGGGUGCAGGAGGUACGUCAGGGGAGCCACGAGGGCCCCACGAGACAGGGGGCGUGCCCUAGGGGGGUGGGGGCGCCCCCACCCUCGUGAGCACCUCGUUCCUUCCUUAACAUGGGGUCCAAGUCCAUCAGGUGUGUUUCCUUCCAAAAAUAACUUCUCUAGUUGAUUUCGUUCCGUUUCGACUCUGUCUGAUAUUCAUUUUCUUCAAAACACUGAAAUAGGCAUAAAACAACAAAUCUAGGCUGGGCCUCCGGUUAAUAGGUUAGUCCCAAAAAUAAUAUAAAUGUGGAUAAUAAAGCCCAAUAUUGCCCAAAACAGUAGAUAAUAUAGCAUGGAGCAAUCAAAAAUUAUAGAUACCUUGGGGACGUAUCAAGCAUCCCCAAGCUUAAUUCCUGCUUGUCCUCGAGUAGGUAAAUGAUAAAAAGAGAAUUUUUGAUGCGGAGUGCUACUUGGCAUAAUUUCAAUGCAAAUCUUCUUAAUUGUGGUAUGAAUAUUCAGAUUAGAAAGAUUCAAGACAAAAGUUUAUAUUGACAUAGAAAAUAAUAAUACUUCAAGCAUACUAAUAAAGCAAUUAUGUCUUCUCAAAAUAACAUGCCCAAAGAAAGCUAUCCCUACAAAAUCAUAUAGUCUGGCUAUGCUCCAUCUUCACCACACAAAAUAUUUAAAUCAUGCACAACCCCGAUGACAAGCCAAGCAAUUGUUUCAUACUUUUGAUGUCCUCAAACUUUUUCAAUCUUCACGCAAUACAAGAGCGUGAGCCAUGGACAUAGCACUAUAGGUGGAAUAGAAUGGUGGUUGUGGAGAAGACAAAAAGGGAGAAGAUAGUCUCACAUCGACUAGGCGUAUCAACGGGCUAUGGAGAUGCCCAUCAAUAGAUAUCAAUAUGAGUGAGUAGGGAUUGCCAUUCAACAGAUGCACUAGAGCUAUAAGUGUAUGAAAGCUCAAAAAGAAACUAAGUGGGUGUGCAUCCAACUCGCUUGCUCAUGAAGACCUAGGGCACUUGAGGAGGCCCAUCAUUGGAAUAUACAAGCCAAGUUCUAUAAUGUAAAAUUCCCACUAGUAUAUGAAAGUGACAACAUAUGAGACUCUCUAUAUGAAGAACAUGGUGCUACUUUGGAGCACAAUAUAUGAGACUCGCUAUAUCAUGGUGCUACUUUGAAGCACAAGUGUGGAAAAAGGAUAGUAGCAUUGCCCCUUUUUAUUUAUUUAUAUUUUUUGGGCCUUCUUUUUUUUUUGUUUGGCCUUUUUUUGGGACAAUGCUCUAUUGAAUGAUGAUCAUCACACUUCUAUUUAUUUACAACUCAAUGAUUACAACUCGAUACUAAAACAAAGUAUGACUCUAUAUGAAUGCCUCCGGCGGUGUACCGGGAUAUGCAAUGUAUCAAGAGUGACAAGUAUGAAAUAAUUAUGAAUGGUGGCUUUGCCACAAAUACUAUGUCAACUACAUGAUCAUGCUAAGCAAUAUGACAAUGAUGGAUGUGUCAUGAUGAACUAGAUGGUGGAAAGUUGCAUGGCAAUAUAUCUCAGAAUGGCUAUGGAAAUGCCAUAAUAGGUAGGUAUGGUGGCUGUUUUGAGGAAGGUAUAUGGUAGGUGUAUGAUACUGGCGAAAGGUGUGCGGUACUAGAGAGGCUAGCAAAGGUGGAAGGGUGAGAGUGCGUAUAAUCCAUGGACUCAACAUUAGUCAUAAAGAACUCAUAUACUUAUUACGAAAAUCUAUUAGUUAUCGAAACAAAGUACUACGCGCAUGCUCUAAGGGGGAUAGAUUGGUAGGAAAAGACCAUCGCUCGUCCCCGACCGCCACUCAUAAGGAAGGCAAUCAAUAAAUAAAUCAUGCUCCGACUUCAUCACAUAACGGUUCACCAUACGUGCAUGCUACGGGAAUCACAAACUUCAACACAAGUAUUUCUCAAAUUCACAACUACUCAACUAGCAUGACUCUAAUAUCACCAUCUCCAUAUCUCAAAACAAUUAUCAAGUAUCAAACUUCUCAUAGUAUUCAACACACUCGUAAGAGAAUUUUAUUAUUCUUGAAUACCUAGCAUAUUAGGAUUUUAAGAAAAUUACCAUGCUAUUUAAGAUUCUCAAAAUAAUAUAAGUGAAGCAUGAGAGUUCAUCUAUUUCUUCAAAAUAAAACUACCACCAUGCUCUAAAAGAUAUAAGUGAAGCACUAGAGCAAAUGACAAACUACUCUGAAAGAUAUAAGUGAAGAUCAAUGAGUAGUCGAAUAAUUAUGCAACUAUGUGAAGACUCUCAAACAUUUAAUAAUUUCAGAUCUUGGUAAUCUAUUCAAACAGCAAGCAAGGCAAAAUAAAAUGACAUCUAAGAAUAGCAAACAUCAUGUGAAGAAGCAAAAACUUAGGAUCAACCGAUACUAACCGAUAAUUGUUGAAGAAGAAAGGUGGGAUGCCAACCGGGGCAUCCCCAAUAUUAGAUGCUUGAGACUUCUUGAAAUAUUAUCUCGGGGUGCCUUGGGCAUCCCCAAGCUUGAGCUUUUGUGUCUCCUUAAUUCCUCUCAUAUCCCGAUCUCCCUAAAUCUCAAAAGCUUCAUCCACACAAAACUCAACAAGGACUCGUGAGAUAAGUUAGUAUAAACCAUUGCCAAAACCUUAUCAUACUCUACUGUAUCAAAUCACUAAAAUUAUUAUUCAACAUUGAAUACUAAAUGUCUCUGCAUAUUUAAUAGUCCUAUCCUCAAAUAGAAUCAUUAAAGAAGCAAACAUAUGCAAACAUAACAGCAAUCUGCCUAAACAGGAUAGUCUGUAAAGAAUGCUGCAACACCCAUACUUCCCUAGCUCCAAAAAUUAUGAAAUAAAAUUACCACUGUAGUAAAUUUAUCAGAUCUUAAUAUGCAAAAGGUUUCAACAUUUUAU
rnacentral:lncRNA from 1 species